rnacentral:rRNA from 1 species
GUAGGUGGCAAGCGUUGUCCGGAAUUAUUGGGCGUAAAGCGCGCGCAGGCGGUUCUUUAAGUCUGAUGUGAAAGCCCACGGCUCAACCGUGGAGGGUCAUUGGAAACUGGAGAACUUGAGUACAGAAGAGGAAAGCGGAAUUCCACGUGUAGCGGUGAAAUGCGUAGAGAUGUGGAGGAACACCAGUGGCGAAGGCGGCUUUCUGGUCUGUAACUGACGCUGAGGCGCGAAAGCGUGGGGAGCAAGCAGGAUUAGAUACCCUGGUAGUCCACGCCGUAAACGAUGAGUGCUAAGUGUUAGGGGGUUUCCGCCCCUUAGUGCUGCAGCUAACGCAUUAAGCACUCCGCCUGGGAGUACGGCCGCAAGGCUG